rnacentral:rRNA from 1 species
CUAUACAUGCAAGUCGAACGAACUUCCGUUAAUUGAUAAUGACGUACUUGUACUGAUUGAGAUUUUAACACAAAGUGAGUGGCGAACGGGUGAGUAACACGUGGGUUACCUGCCCAGAAGCCAAAGGUAACGGAUAACACCUGGAAACAGAUGCUAAUACCGUAUAACAGAGAAAACCGCAUGGUUUUCUUUUAAAAGAUGGCUCUGCUAUCACUUCUGGAUGGACCCGCGGCGUAUUAGCUAGUUGGUGAGGUAAAGGCUCACCAAGGCAGUGAUACGUAGCCGACCUGAGAGGGUAAUCGGCCACAUUGGGACUGAGACACGGCCCAGACUCCUACGGGAGGCAGCAGUAGGGAAUCUUCCACAGUGGACGCAAGUCUGAUGGAGCAACGCCGCGUGAGUGAAGAAGGGUUUCGGCUCGUAAAGCUCUGUUGUUAAAGAAGAACGUGGGUAAGAGUAACUGUUUACCCAGUGACGGUAUUUAACCAGAAAGCCACGGCUAACUACGUGCCAGCAGCCGCGGUAAUACGUAGGUGGAAAGCGUUAUCCGGAUUUAUUGGGCGUAAAGCGAGCGCAGGCGGUCUUUUUAAGUCUAAUGUGAAACCCCUUCGGCUCAACCGAAGAAAUUGCAU